rnacentral:rRNA from 1 species
UACGUAGGGGGCAAGCGUUGUCCGGAUUUAUUGGGCGUAAAGAGCGUGUAGGCGGCCAGGUAGGUCUGCUGUGAAAACUCGAGGCUCAACCUCGAGACGUCGGCGGAAACCAUCUGGCUAGAGUCCGGAAGAGGAGAGUGGAAUUCCUGGUGUAGCGGGGAAAUGCGCAGAUAUCAGGAGGAAUACCGGUGGGGUAGACGGCUCUCUGGACCGCCACUGACGCUGAGACACGAAAGCGUGGGUAGCAAACAGG